rnacentral:rRNA from 1 species
UGGGGAAUCUUGCACAAUGGGGGCAACCCUGAUGCAGCGACGCCGCGUGAUCGAUGAAGCCCUUCGGGGCGUAAAGCUCUUUCGACCGGAACGAUAAUGACGGUACCGGGAGAAGAAGCUGCGGCUAACUACGUGCCAGCAGCCGCGGUAAUACGUAGGCAGCAAGCGUUGUUCGGAGUUACUGGGCGUAAAGAGUGCGUAGGCGGUUUUCUAAGUUCGGUGUGAAAUCUCCCGGCUUAACUGGGAGGGUGCGCCGAAGACUGGGAAGCUGGAGUGUGGGAAAGGCAGGCGGAAUUCCUGGUGUAGCGGUGAAAUGCGUAGAUAUCAGGAGGAACACCGGCGGUGUAGACGGCUUGCUAAACCAUAACUGACGCUGAGGCACGAAAGCGUGGGUAGCAAACA